GGGGGAAAAAUUAAUAAUUUUAUAAAUAAUAAAAAAAUUUUUAAAUAAAAAUAAUUAAAGGGGGUUAAAGUAUUUUUAUUGAAAAAAUUAAUUAUUUUAUAGUGUAAUAGUAUUGUGAAAGAAUUUUGAAAUAAUUGAAAAUUUAAAUUAUUUAAAAGUAAUUUUAAUUUAAUGUAUCUUGUGUAUCAGAGUUUAUUAAGAAUUUUUAUUAUAUAUUAAAUUCUCGAAUUUAAAAGAGAUAAUUAAUUAAUAAAUUUAUUGUGGCAAAAAUAUUUUAAAUAAUUAAUUGGAAAUGAAAUGUUAAUCGUUUUUAAAUAUAUCUAGUUUUUUUAGAAAAAAAUUUAAUUUUAUAUUAUUUUAUAAAAUUUUUAAUUAAUUAAAAAUUUUAUAAAAUAAUUUUAUAUUUUAAGGGAUAAGCUUUAAAUUAAAUUUAUAUAAAUUUAAUUAUUAAAAAAUUGAAAAUUAUAUAAUUUAUAUUGUUAACAAAUUUUAAUUUAUUAUAAAUAAUUUCAUUAAUAAAUAAAAUUUAAAAUAAAUUUUAUAUUUUUAUAAAAAAAAAAAUUAAGAAUAAAAUUUAAUUUAAUAUAAUGAUAAAAUUAGUAUAUAUAUAUAAUAUUUAAUUUAUUAUUUUAUUUAAAAAAUAAUUAAAAGGAAUUCGGCAAAAAUUUAUAUUCACUUGUUUAUCAAAAACAUGUCUUUUUGUAAAUAAUAUAAAGUCUAAUCUGCCCACUGAUUUAAUUAUUAAAGGGCUGCAGUAUUUUGACUGUACAAAGGUAGCAUAAUCAUUAGUCAUUUAAUUGAUGACUUGUAUGAAAGAUUGGAUGAAAUAUAAACUGUCUCUUAAUUAUGAUAUAAAAUUUAAUUUUUUAGUUAAAAAGCUAAAAUUAAUUAAAAAGACGAGAAGACCCUAUAGAGUUUUAUAAAUUAUAAUUAUUAAGAUUAUUUAUAAAAUUAAUAAUUAAAAUAAUUUAAUUUAAUUUGUUGGGGUGACAAAAAAAUAAAAAUAACUUUUUUUUUAUUAGACAUAAAUAAGUGAAUAAUUGAUCCAAUAUUAUUGAUUAUAAGAAAAAAUUACCUUAGGGAUAACAGCGUAAUUUUUUUUUUUAGUUCAUAUAAAAAAAAGAGUUUGCGACCUCGAUGUUGGAUUAAGAUAAAAUUUAAAUGCAGAAGUUUAAAAUUUUUGAUCUGUUCGAUCAUUAAAAUCUUACAUGAUCUGAGUUCAAACCGGUGUGAGCCAGGUUGGUUUCUAUCUUUUAAAAUAUAAAAUAUUUUAGUACGAAAGGAUUAAAUAUUUAAAUUAAAUUUAUAUAAAUUGAAUUUUAUUAAAUUUUAUUUAAAAAUAUAGUUAAAAUAAAUAAUAUAAUAUAUAUAUAUAUAUAUAUAUAUAUUAUAUUA
rnacentral:rRNA from 1 species